UUUAUACUCCUUUCAUCCCAAAAUCUUGUCUUAGAUUUGUCUAGAUAUGGAUGUAUCUAAUACUAAAACGUGACUUGAUACAUUCGUAUUUAGACAAAUCUAAGACAAGGAUUUUGGGACGGAGGGAGUAUAUU
rfam:Triticum urartu cultivar G1812 contig1031434, whole genome shotgun sequence.